rnacentral:tRNA from 1 species
GCCGGGGUGGCCGAGCGGUCAAAAGGCGGCGGAUUGCUAAUCCGCUGGCGAUUUCGCCUCCCGGGUUCGAAUCCCGGCCCCGGCGCCA